rnacentral:rRNA from 1 species
CCUACGGGAGGCAGCAGUGGGGAAUCUUGCGCAAUGGGCGAAAGCCUGACGCAGCCAUGCCGCGUGAAUGAUGAAGGUCUUAGGAUUGUAAAAUUCUUUCACCGAGGACGAUAAUGACGGUACUCGGAGAAGAAGCCCCGGCUAACUUCGUGCCAGCAGCCGCGGUAAUACGAAGGGGGCUAGCGUUGCUCGGAAUUACUGGGCGUAAAGGGAGCGUAGGCGGAUAGUUUAGUCAGAGGUGAAAGCCCAGGGCUCAACCUUGGAAUUGCCUUUGAUACUGGCUAUCUUGAGUACGGAAGAGGUAUGUGGAACUCCGAGUGUAGAGGUGAAAUUCGUAGAUAUUCGGAAGAACACCAGUGGCGAAGGCGACAUACUGGUCCGUUACUGACGCUGAGGCUCGAAAGCGUGGGGAGCAAACAGGAUUAGAUACCCUGGUAGUCCACGCUGUAAACGAUGAGUGCUAGUUGUCGGUCGAUGCAUGCAUGUUCGGUGGACGCGAGCUAACGACAUUAAGUACACUCCGCCGUCGGGGUAGGUACGGUCGCGAAGAAGUUAAAACUACGAAAGAAGUUAGAG